GAGAGAAGAGGUGUGUGUGUGUGUGGGGGGGUGAGCGGCCUGCCCACACGCUCAGGUGUGUCUCACUGUCCGAUGGAGCACGUUCUUUCUCUUGUCUCUCUGGCUGAGAUCCAUAUUAAAGUCUCUUUUUAACAGCCCCGACUCUGCUUGAGGCGGAGGGACACCAUGAUGCAGGGCCCUUCCAACACACAGCUCCUAGUGUUCUCCACGUGGUAGGCAGUGUCCUCUCUCCGGCCAGCUUUUCCUUCUCUUUUCUGUUGUUUUUUAGCUUGACCUCUGCCCCUUGGAGCUGCCCGUGAGACCUCCCACACAGCAGCCUUGACAAGUCACACCAGCAAAGUCCACCAGAGUGCUAACCCUCUCAGGAGUGGGAGGUCAUCCCGAGCUCCUGCUGUCGGCAGCCCUGUGGAUCUUCCACCUCCCACUGCACCCUCAAGGGGACGGACGGACGGACGGACGGACGGACUGACGGACGCCGCUGUCGGUCCCCGCACACCCAGCACGCCCUCUGCCUGUCUCGCCCAGCUCUGGACCAGAGGCAGGCAGUGUCUGACGCCCUCACCUUGGAAGAGCUACCCAAAGCCUUGGAGACUGGAGAGGCAGAGGAGGCCGCACUAGAGGCCUGCAGCGUAGCUGCCGCGUAGCUGGGUCCUGCUGGGUCGCUAGCAGAGGCUACAGAGGGAGACAAUGGACUGAGGAUGAGAGCUAACCGAGGAGGACCAGAACCGUCUGAUCCUCCUGCCUCGUCUCCCCGUGCUGCGGUUUCCGGCACGGGCCUAGGAGGUGAACCCAGGGCUCCGUGCUAAAGGGAGCCCUCUGUCACCGCCAGCCGCAGCAACCGUGCUUCCCAC